rnacentral:rRNA from 1 species
AACGAACGCUGGCGGCGUGGCUAAGACAUGCAAGUCGUACGAUACGUUGUAGCAAUAUGACGUAUAGUGGCGGACGGGUGAGUAAUGAAUAGGUAACGUACCCCGGGCACAGGGAUAGCGUCGGGCGCAAGCCCUUUGCGAAAGUGACGGUAAUACCUGGUGACGUCUUCCGGUGGCAUCAAUCGGAAGACCAUAAGGUGGGGACCUUCGGGCCUACCGGCCUGGGAGCGGCCUAUUUCCUANCAGCUAGUUGGUGAGGUAACGGCUCACCAAGGCAACGACGGGUAGCCGGACUGAGAGGUUGUACGGCCACAUCGGGACUGAGACACUGCCCGGACAUCUACGGAUGGCUGCAGUAAACGAAU